GUUAUGUUCGGAUGCUUGAACUAGGAUGAACAUGGAUAGUGUAACGCUCCAAUAAUCUCACAACGUAUAAAAAAAUAAUUUUAAUUAGAGUAUAUGAAGCCUCAUAGGUUAUUAAAAAUAACUAGACUUAAAUAUUUUUGGUCGGUGGUUUGGACGAGUUAUUAUUGCUAGCGGGCCGAGUCAUUACAAUUGAUAUUAAAAUCGAAUAUCAGCCGGAAGUGUAAAAGCUAAGUAUUAUGUAGGGCAAAGUGCUACACUAACGGAU
rnacentral:lncRNA from 1 species